GACAUCAAGAGGCAUCAACUGAACGAAAAGGCCGACAUGGACACGCGAGUGCUGGCGCUGUUGUUGUGCGUGCAGCUGGUGCAGCUGCUGCUGUCGGCCCCGCCGUCGACGGAAGCCAUGAGCAUCCCAGGACCUCCGUACCGGCCUCCGCCGGCGAGAGAAAUGCCCAGAAAGAAACACCGGUACUCCAACUGCAGCUGGAGACCCGGAGGAUGCAGCACGUUGGCUGUGAUGGGGCUUACUCCUCCUCCUCCUCCUCCUCCGCCCCCACCACCACCGCCUCCUCCUCGCCCAACAUUAAAUUAUAUUAUAUGUUUUUUGAACGGUGACUGGAAAUAAUCAAGGAUUUUGAUCAACUUUUUGAAAUCUUGUAUUCAGUCACUUUAACAAAAUAUCAUCAUGUGAUACUGUCAUCCAAUACGUAUUUGUAUCAUGUUGAAGCCUGUUCCGAUAAUAAACGAAUGAGCUGCGCUUGGAUGCUGGACUUGCAUCUUUUGGUGAUGCAAACAAAAAAAGAGGAAGAUAUGUAUUUUCUUGCGGUCGCAUUCCGGGUGGCGAAACAAGACAUGGACCUUGUUGGCCUCCUGCUGUUGCAUUGUUUUGUUGUGCUGCUUCCUCUUUUUCUUUCUGUAAUUUCUUGGAUGGCAUCACACUUAAGACAUGCUCAAAACAAAACAUGUUUAUGACACCAGUGACGUGCGGUGAGGUUAGGGUUAGUGCUUAUUUGCGUAAAAUAUCUAUUUUUGGGACAAUAGUAUGUUAGCAUAUUAUCUUUUCUAGCGUCAAGUAUUAAGUAAGACUCACCCCCUUUCACACAGACAUGUUUUCUUCAAAAAUACUUUAAAAAACAAAAAAAAAAACCUAUCAAAAUACAUAUAUAUUGUCUAAAAGACUUUUUGUUUCCUAAAUAAUGGACUGUUUCCUCAGAAAUGUGUACCAAAAAAUUGUUUCUUUAAAAGAUAUGACCAUAUGUGCAACAUUGUUUUCGCUGACAUACUGGAAUUUGUUUUUUCCACUCCAAAAUAAGCAGUCUUGUUUGUAAAAAAAACUUUGAACCAAGAAUAAUACCACCAUACUGUUAUCUAAGACCAGGAGCAUGCGCACCUAUAGUAAGAGUACAAAAAUAUUCUUGAAGCUAGCUGUCUUGUGCCCUCGAAAAAAAAAGAACUUUAGUUUUGGUACACUUGUCCUUUGAAGCUGCAUAUAUUUGGCAAAAUCUAGAUUAGUACAUCUACAAUAUACUAAAUUAGUCAGUGAAAGUGCAUUCAUGAUUAUUAUUGAGCUUUUGUAGUUCUCUUGUGGAAAACUUCCUGUUAUUGGGAAAAGCCCUCUUGAAAUAUUGACAUGUCGUAAUUUGUGAUGUGAGCACGUGUGGACUCACAGGAAGUUAUUGCCGCCUUUCACUUCUGAUGGGAAGGGUGUUUGCUUUGCUCUAUAUAAGGAGCAAUGUGUCACUUCAGCUAUGUGGCGUGUCAUUAGCCAUGGACAAAAUUGUGUUGGUGCUCCUGCUGUGUCUGCAGGCCUUCCUGCUCACCACUGCGUUGGAUUCAGAUAAGGCCGCCAUUUUGUUGACGGACAAUCGGCAACUUAUCAAGGGAAGAGCUACACCAAGAAUAAGACGACCAUACCGUUUUCCAGGAGCAUUCACACUUCUAGGAAGAGUUAAACCAAGAAGAUCAUACUGCUAUGGAAGACCAGGAGCAUGCUCACUUUUAAUAAAGCCGGCGCGAAACCAGGUCAGAAAGAUGGAAGUCGCCCACGCCUAGCGUGCCAAGCUUGACUUUGACAACUUACAGAAGCUCUGUUUGUUGUUUCUCUCUGCUCUCUAAAGCUAGCUUUUUAAAGACUGUCUGUCUGUUGUGUUGUCGUGGUGGGGAGAAGAAGUGGAUAUAUUCAUAAAGUGUGUAAACACCCUAUCGAGCUAAAUAUUCUCAUGCAAUGCACUGCUGAUUAAACAUCUGGAACAAGCACUUGUUUUUUCCUGUCAUGUUGGAAAAUGAAAGGAGUGACGAUAGCCAAGCAAGAAAAGGUUAAUAUGAUACGCGUUACUUUUGUCAACAAGAAUGUUUUUUUUCCUCCGUGUAAAGAUAAUUGAUCUAAUACUAAAGUAACUUUAAAGCUAAAAAUCUCCUUUAAAAAAUGAACACACAUGUUCUAAAACUUACUCCACUUCUAAAAAACCCAAGUCUUUUUAUACCUUUAUGUUGGAAUUUCGUCAACAUAAUAUAAAGCGCAACAUUCACAUAUCCUCAAAUGGGAAGGUGAAUAAAUUGAGAUUUCAACUAUUUAUUGGAAAAUGUUUCCAAAAAUGUGCAAAUAAAGAAUUCUUCGAAACAAUAAGUCAACGGGAACUUGCGAUCAUAAAUGUGACCAAUUAAAUAACAAAUACAGCUGAAAAAAAAAACUGGAUAAAAUUAUUAACCAUCCAUUCAUCCAUCCAUUAUCUGUACCGUAUAAAAACAAAUACAUAAAGAAAAACCAAAACACCGAGGCCUGAAACGGCAAUGUCGCAAUCAUUUAGGAUUCCUGGCACUUUCAACACAACAUAAACACAUCCAUGAGACUAGCGACAUUUUUCGGAUUGCUAAAAAUAUGCAAAUAAAGAAUUCUUGCAAACAAUAAGUCAACAGGAACUUGCGAUCAUAAACGUGGCCAAUUAAAUAACAAAUACGGCUGAAUCAAGAUCCAGCAAAAAAAACUCUUAAAUAAGACUAAAAUGAUUAAUCAUAUCAAACAAAUACAUAAAGAAACUAAAACACAGAGGCCUGAAACGACAAUGUCGCAAUAAUUUAGGAUUCCAACAAAACAAACACAUUCAAGAGACUAGCGACAUUUUUUGGAUUCCUGAAAAUAUUCAAAAUUUUGUUCAGAAUAUCGCAGGCAUUUUUACUCUGUAAACCGUCAACGAGUUAAUGGAGGGACACUAACGUCAUAAAUAACUUCCCGAAAGUUCAAAACGAUUCAAAGGAUGUAUAGAGAAGAGAAGAGAAGACCAGACCUCCUUGAGUUUCAUCCGUUAGUAGUUGAGGACCUGCAUAUCAAAUAGGUCAGACACACCGCCGGUGUCAUCCAAUGUGAAACUGUAGUCCAUGCCUUAAAAAAAAUAAAAUAAAAUAAUCAGCCGUCAAAUUGAUUACUCAAGGAGAAAAUUGUCAGACAUUAACAUGUAAAAGAACUGAAAGAAAUCUUUAAAUUCCAAGACAAAUCUCAAGAGUACAUUAUUUGACAUGUUUUUCCAAAAAGAAAUAUGUCAAUAUGUCAUAUUUACUCAUUUUCCUGUUUCUUUACUACAAAAAAAUAUUAAUUCUCAUUCAGUUCUAAGCUCGCCAAGUUAUAAUUGUUUCUUUUCAGGGUGACCCUGACAUUCCUUCAGUUUUCAACAUUGCAUACUCUUUAAGAUGCUUACCAGAAGAGAUGAGUUCAUCAAUUAAGUCAACAUCUUCUGCAAGAAAGCACAUAUUGUAUCC